rnacentral:rRNA from 1 species
UGGNGGAGCAUGUGGUUUAAUUCGAUGCAACGCGAAGAACCUUACCUACUCUUGACAUCCAGAGAAUUCGCUAGAGAUAGCUUAGUGCCUUCGGGAACUNUGAGACAGGUGCUGCAUGGCUGUCGUCAGCUCGUGUUGUGAAAUGUUGGGUUAAGUCCCGCAACGAGCGCAACCCUUAUCCUUGUUUGCCAGCANNUAAUGGUGGGAACUCCAGGGAGACUGCCGGUGAUAAACCGGAGGAAGGUGGGGACGACGUCAAGUCAUCAUGGCCCUUACGAGUAGGGCUACACACGUGCUACAAUGGCGUAUACAGAGGGCUGCAANCNANNGAUAGUAAGCGANUCCCACAAAGUACGUCGUAGUCCNNANNNGAGUCUNC